AAAAAGAUGGCGGCCUUGGCAUUCGUGAUCUCCGCUUGCAAAACACAUGCUUGCUACUAAAGCUUCUGCACCGUGCUCACAACUCUCCAGAUUCAGCAUGGUCCUGUUGGCUACAAGUGGAGUUUGGUGGGCCUUUAUCUGCACCAGACAAUGCCACAGCGGGUUCGCAUUGGGCGGCCCUUCGUCGGCUCCUCCCAGACUAUCGGUUGCUGACCACGGUGGAGGUUGGUGAUGGGCGUACUACGGCUUUCUGGUAUGACUGCUGGCUGCCCUCAGGGCCCCUCGUGGAGGCAAUGCCGUCGCUGUACACACACGCACGACAUAAAAAUGCCUCAGUCAGCGACGUUCUUUCAAAAGGUCUGCGCCUCGCCUUCGUCUCUCGGCUCUCAACGGUAGCUGCUGCUGAACUGGUGCAAUUGAUGGGGCUGCUUGAUGGUGUGGUGUUAACAAAUACCCCAGAUGUACGUGUGUGUCCCUGGGAAGAC
rnacentral:misc_RNA from 1 species